UGAAAUAAAUAUGUUAUUUUAAAGUGAUGAGGGAACAAAAAUAUUUUCUGUAAAUGCAUAUAUAUAUAAAUAUAAGAAAGCUGUGUCUUGCGGAAUCCGCUAUAGUCAUAGUUGGACGGAAUCAAACGGCUUAGUUCUGCAUAUAAUUACUGAAUUUUAAGUAGAUUUUACAAAAGCGAGAUAUGAAAAGCACAUUCGUGAUCGUUUUCUUGGCGAUUGCCUUACUUGCCAUGAAAUCCAUAAAUUCUGCUCCUGCUGAUCCUUCUGAAGAUGAAAUUGCCUUGGAAAGCUUGGAUGAAACGCAGCGG